rnacentral:rRNA from 1 species
GAUGAACGCUGGCGGCGUGCCUAAUACAUGCAAGUCGAGCGAACGGACGAGAAGCUUGCUUUUCUGAUGUUAGCGGCGGACGGGCGAGUAACACGUGGAUAACCUACCUAUAAGACUGGGAUAACUUCGGGAAACCGGAGCUAAUACCGGAUAAUAUUUUGAACCGCAUGGUUCAAAAGUGAAAGACGGUCUUGCUGUCACUUAUAGAUGGAUCCGCGCUGCAUUAGCUAGUUGGUAAGGUAACGGCUUACCAAGGCAACGAUGCAUAGCCGACCUGAGAGGGUGAUCGGCCACACUGGAACUGAGACACGGUCCAGACUCCUACGGGAGGCAGCAGUAGGGAAUCUUCCGCAAUGGGCGAAAGCCUGACGGAGCAACGCCGCGUGAGUGAUGAAGGUCUUCGGAUCGUAAAACUCUGUUAUUAGGGAAGAACAUAUGUGUAAGUAACUGUGCACAUCUUGACGGUACCUAAUCAGAAAGCCACGGCUAACUACGUGCCAGCAGCCGCGGUAAUACGUAGGUGGCAAGCGUUAUCCGGAAUUAUUGGGCGUAAAGCGCGCGUAGGCGGUUUUUUAAGUCUGAUGUGAAAGCCCACGGCUCAACCGUGGAGGGUCAUUGGAAACUGGAAAACUUGAGUGCAGAAGAGGAAAGUGGAAUUCCAUGUGUAGCGGUGAAAUGCGCAGAGAUAUGGAGGAACACCAGUGGCGAAGGCGACUUUCUGGUCUGUAACUGACGCUGAUGUGCGAAAGCGUGGGGAUCAAACAGGAUUAGAUACCCUGGUAGUCCACGCCGUAAACGAUGAGUGCUAAGUGUUAGGGGGUUUCCGCCCCUUAGUGCUGCAGCUAACGCAUUAAGCACUCCGCCUGGGGAGUACGACCGCAAGGUUGAAACUCAAAGGAAUUGACGGGGACCCGCACAAGCGGUGGAGCAUGUGGUUUAAUUCGAAGCAACGCGAAGAACCUUACCAAAUCUUGACAUCCUUUGACAACUCUAGAGAUAGAGCCUUCCCCUUCGGGGGACAAAGUGACAGGUGGUGCAUGGUUGUCGUCAGCUCGUGUCGUGAGAUGUUGGGUUAAGUCCCGCAACGAGCGCAACCCUUAAGCUUAGUUGCCAUCAUUAAGUUGGGCACUCUAAGUUGACUGCCGGUGACAAACCGGAGGAAGGUGGGGAUGACGUCAAAUCAUCAUGCCCCUUAUGAUUUGGGCUACACACGUGCUACAAUGGACAAUACAAAGGGCAGCGAAACCGCGAGGUCAAGCAAAUCCCAUAAAGUUGUUCUCAGUUCGGAUUGUAGUCUGCAACUCGACUACAUGAAGCUGGAAUCGCUAGUAAUCGUAGAUCAGCAUGCUACGGUGAAUACGUUCCCGGGUCU